CCUACGGGUGGCAGCAGUAGGGAAUUUUGCGCAAUGGGCGAAAGCCUGACGCAGCAACUCCGCGUGAACGAGACGCCCUUCGGGGUGUAAAGUUCUUUCAGUGGGGACGAAAGAUGACGGUACCCACAGAGGAAGCACCGGCUAACUCCGUGCCAGAAGCCGCGGUCAUACGGAGGGUGCAAGCGUUGUCCGGAAUCAUUGGGCGUAAAGAGUGCGUAGGCGGUAUGUUAAGUCUGGUGUGAAAGGCAGAAGCUCAACUUCUGUUCGCAACUGGAUACUGGCAAACUAGAAUGCGGUAGAGGUAAAGGGAAUUCCUGGUGUAGCGGUGAAAUGCGUAGAUAUUAGGAGGAACAUCGGUGGCGUAGGCGCUUCACUGGGACGUAAUUGACGCUGAGGAACGAAAGCCAGGGUAGCAAAUGGGAUUAGAUACCCGGGUAGUC
rnacentral:rRNA from 1 species